GAACCUUCUGACUAAUCCUAUUAUCUUGAAAUGUAUAUUAUGGGAAGGGGUCUGGUAAGAUCUUUCUAUUGUUGGUUCUAAUCUUGUUAACUUAAGAUGCAUAUUGUGGGAGUGGGUCUGGUAAAAGUGUAUAAGGCCCUGAUAAGACUAGUGAGGGGGGUGCACUCUCCGCCCCCUUCUGAUGUCUAUGUCAGAAGCCUUC